UAGUGUUGUAACAGUGAUCAGGUUGAGACAGUACCUGGCUUUGGCCCCGGACUGAGGUCACCUGCACAUGAACAGAUGAUGAAUCUACAGUCACAUAGAGCAGAGGUUUAUGGAGAGAUGAGGACCUCACACCUCUCAAAAGAGGAGUGUGACAGAAUCGUCUGGGGGGAGACGGCGCAGAACAGCUGCAGACGUGAGUAUGUGUGAGUGUGUGUCAGUGUGUAUGAAGGGAAUAGACUCAGUAGGACAGGAGAGAGAAAGGAGGGCUCAUAUGUUACCAUGACCUCUUCAUUAUUGAUGGCAUGUCAGGCAAAGUCCUGUUACCGCCCCCCUCACCAGCUCAAACUGUCAGAAAUAAGUGAGUGGAGUUAUUCCCACUCCCAAUGAUGGAAAAGAAACCUUAUGUAAAAAUUGGCCCUGGCUGUCCUCUAGUUUGUUUCAGAGAGACAAGCCAUGAUAGUAAUGUAUUUAAGGAUAUACCUUGCCCUUGCCUUGUGUCCUCUGACACAGCAAAAUAUCCUCUCUUUGUCCCUCUCUAUUGCUUUCCUUUCCCCUCUCUCUCUUAUGUUCCUCUCCUUUAGUUUCCUUCUCUGUCAUCAGCACUUUCACUUGACCCCUCUCUCUCUCUCCCUUUAUCCCACAUUUCCAACUGUUUAGCUCCCCCCUCUCCUUAUCUUGUCUAUUUACCUCCCCUCCCACUCCCUCUUGCUAGCUCUGCUUCUUCCGUCUAUAAGAAUAUUUAGAAGAUAAAUACACAACGCAAAGACAGAGGACGAGAGGACAAUAGAGUACUAACGAUCAAUGGAAAUAGUGUUUUUUCUGUAAUAGGGAUAUAUUGAUCAAUGGGUCAGAGACGUGAGGAAUUUGUCUAGGCAUCGAGCCUGAAUUAGGAUACUUCUUAUUUGGCUUUUGGUCCUGUUUUAUUGCAAGGAAUUCUAAUUGGUCAACCACAGGCUAGGGCUGGGUUAUAAACGACAUCCUGUCCCUAUGUUCUGUGGAUAGAAUCACAGGAGAGAAUCACUGAGGGGAGAAUCACUGAGGACAGAGAAGGAACGGCCAUCUACCUCUCAACAUAACAUCUAUGAUUUAUCCUCUCUGAAUAAACCUAUUUUCCUCCACCUGAUUUGCUUUGGGGUCUGUGUUAUUAUAGAAUAACUUCAACUUCUAACAUUUGGUGCCGUGACCCGGAUGAAUUGGUCUGAACAACAACAAGAAAAAACUUAUCAACUGUGUGUUGCUCCUGAAGAAAGAGAGAAGGCUGAGCGCAACCCACUUUGGGGAGUCAACUCUGCUGAUUGAUGGCAUAAUUGCUGGGUUAUGAGAAUCUACAGUCUGAAGCUGAAGCAAUAUCCCUAUAACCAAGGACUCUACCUGAAAUGAUACAAGAUCACCGGUGAAGUGUUCAUUAGAAAAGUCCUUAACCCGUGGAACGGAAGAAGAAUUCCUCACUACCGGCAGACUGCCAGAACAUCAUUUCUAAUAGUUAUCAAUGUGGGACUGAUACCAGUGUGGAAGAGCUGGUCACUUUUAAAGGACUUGGUGAAUGAUUACCUUGCCAAUAGGAUGAUUGAAUAUUAUUUUCUUGUAGACAAUUUUUUGUGUGUGUUUGAGUUUCCUCCUAAUACAGGAUGUGGUGCGAUUCAUCAUUACACCUGUUAAUACUUAUUUUCUAUAACUUUGUUUUAAAUCUAUUUCUUAUUGGAACAGCAAGUACAAUAUGCCCUUUGUGUUUUAUAGAAAUGCAAGGUGUUUUAAUGUUAGUGAUUUUAUGCUUACAGCUAAUGUUUUUUAUACUGUCUAUUUUUUCUAUGUUUUCUAAAAAAUACAUUUUUAAGUAUAUUUAUUUCUAAAAUGGUCUAGAGGGGAGUAUAAGAAUAUUUAGAAGAUAAAUGCACAACGCAGAGACAGAGGAUAAUCAAUGGAACAAAGAAAUAGUGUAUUUUCUGUAAAAGGGAAUUAUUGAUCAAUGGGUCAGAGACAUGGGAGGAAUUUGUCUAGACAUCGAGCCUGAAAUAGGAUACGUGUUAUUUGGCCAUUGGCCCUGUUUUAUUGCAAGGAAUUCUAAUUGGUCAACCACAGGCUAGGGCUGGGUUAUAAACUACAUCCUGUCCCUACGUUCUGUGGAUAGAAUCACAGGAGAGAAUCACUGAGGGGAGAAUCACUGAGGACAGAGAAGGAACGGCCAUCUACCUCUCAACAUAACAUCUAUGAUUUAUCCUCUUUGAAUAAACCUAUUUUUCUUCCCCUGA